ACCUGCCCUAUGAUGGAUAUUAAAUGGCCGCGAUAUUUUGAUCGUGCAAAGGUAGCAUAAUCAUUAGUUUUUUGAUUGAGAACUGGAAUGAAAGGUUGAACGAGAAAAGUACUGUCUCAAUUUAAUUUAAUUAGAAUUUUAUUUUUAAGUUAAAAAGCUUAAAUAUUUUUAAAAGACGAGAAGACCCUAUAGAGUUUAAUAUUUAAAAUUUUUAAAUAAAUAUAUAGUAUAUAAAUUUUUAUUUGGUUAUUAAAUAUUUGGUUGGGGUGAUUAGAAAAUUAAAAAAACUUUUCUUAAAUAUUAACAUUAAUAUAUGAAAAAUUGAUCCAUAUUUUAUGAUUAAAAGAUUAAAUUA
rnacentral:rRNA from 1 species